ensembl:lncRNA
GGAUUUCACAGCUUGGCCUUUCGUUUCCCACCGACAGUGGUUAGGUGCCUACUUCACGGUCAUCAGGCCGCUCUACCUGUCGUGGCAAGGGGAAGCAGCGGACGACAAGGGCUGCUUCUUCCUGGGGACCACAGGACGUCCCGUGGCCAAUCCCAGGUCCGAUUUGCGCCGUCUCUGGAGGCGCUGUCGGAAGAUCUGCGAGGCAGCGGGCCCGACUCCGCCGCCCCUUACGGCAGAGGCCGCUGGGACGUCUUCCCGGGACACGAGUUCUGUGUCGGGGAAGGGGUCGCGUGACGACCAAUGGGACGCUUUCGUCAGUGAAUUCCCCGUGACGAUGGGUGCCCUCGCGCCCUCCAAAGAGGACCUCGUCGGUGCCGUGUUUGGCGAUGAACGGACGCCCUACUUCAAAUGGAGGCGCAUCCAGUUGGAAAAGCGUGUGCUACACGUGUCCGCUUCCGCUGGCGGGCAGCGACCGACUGAGGCCAAGGUGGCAGCCGUUGUAGCCAAGGAGAAAUGGAAAACCAAUGUCCCCUCCCUCCCGGAUGUGCUCAAGGCGUGGGUCUCCCCUUUAAAGGCAGCCAUUGAGGACGACGAAGGCUGUCCUCAAGUCAGUGGUGGAGCAACGGUGGAAGGGGAUCGAUUUUAAGGACUUUGGAGAACACAAGGGCAGAGGCGUCAUUGCCACCGUGCCGUUCUCCAAGGGGGACGUGAUAUGCGACUAUCACGGAAAGCUCAUCUCUGAAUCCGAGGGGAAGAGGCUGAUGGAUGCAAUGCAGGAGGGAGUGAUGUGCUACCUCUUUUUCGUCAGGGGCAGGCUAGGCACCAAGCUGUGCGUCGACUCCCAGAACUUCCCCUGCGAGUGCCACCCUGGAAAGGACGCCUUUGGUAGGCGCAUGAACCACUCGGGCAAGGCGUCCAAUGUGAAGCCUGUGGUGUUCCAGUUGAACUUUCCAGACGGAGCCAAAGACGCUGUCCUCUUCUUGGCCCAGAGAAACAUAGCUGUCAACGAAGAGCUCCGUUGGGACUAUGGUGUGAGACGGGAGGUCUUUCGGAGAUGAGGGCAUGGACCUGGCAUGGCUCGGAUGACUGAAACGAUUCUCUUUGGUUCAUUGUGUUCUCAUUUGUUGUUGCCGGUUAUUGCUGUUCUUCUUGUUGUUGUUGUUUGGUGUCAUGUUUUUAAUAAAUGUUUUUGCUACAAAGGACAACGCCUUGAAUAGACUGACUUUAUUAAUCCCCGAAGGAUGUGAAAUAAUUCAAGUCUUCAUGUUAACAUUACAUUGACAUAGAGUGGGUGCCAGAAAAAGUGAAAAACACGACAGCUCUCGUUUAAGGGCUUAAACUUUGAGCUACUGCAGGAAAAGGGCAUGCAUAAAACGUGCACUGCAUGUGAAACAUUCCGUAAUGAUAUAUGGGACGAUUGCAAUCACCAGACAUGAGGAUGAACAAAUGUAUUGCCACAUAAGCAGCUACAAGAAAAAACAAACAAACAAAUUAAUAAAUGAAGGAGUGAAUGAAUAAACAAGUAAAUGUUUAAGAUGGAGACAAAAGGGGGCCACUCUGCCCUUUUGUGGAAUAGUUUGGACAUGCCUACAGAAUAAAAAACAAACGGCAUGUCCACGAUGAAACACAGAAGCACUUUACUUCUGCUAACAAUAGUCUUUGGGUUCCAUUGAUUGCAUUUCCAUUUGAUUUGAGGUCAAAAUGGCUGCUCUUUUCAAAAUGGCUGCUCUUUGAUGGUUUGAGUGUCAGACUAAUGGUUGUUACUUCAUGAGGUGGGUACAGUGGUUUGUCUCGUCUACUUGAUGGAGGUAAGUGACCACGGAUCAAAACAGUUUAUGCCUUAAAGUCUAGGGCCCACUGCUAAAGAACAAGGACAUACUCCUUGAACACCUAGAGCUUUGACACUGUGUGUGUGUGUGUGUGUGUGUGUGUGUGUGUGUGUGUGUGUGUGUGUGUGUGUGUGUGUGUGUGUCCAACUGGAAAAACAAAGUGAAGGAACAGGAAUCAUUAUUGUGUGUGAAUAUAAUAGAUUUGAUAUGUUGUAUUGAGAUGCAUUUUACCUACUUUUCUUUCACAUUCAUAGACUACAUCCUGACUUGCAUAAAUAAAUAAUAUAAUAAACGAAAUAAUAAUAAACGGAUGACGGUUAGGGGCCGCUUCUGCCAUCUGGUGGCUGCUGAGGGGACCUCAACGGACGACACUUAGGAUUUGGCUGUGCAAAGCUGCUACAGACAGCAGCAUAUGUGAUGCCCGACUGGAUAUCUCGGCGGGUGAAGGUCGCACGGACUCGGGCUUGGCACCGUUGGAAAGCUGCUUCCCCCUUUGGGGGGGGUGCGUCUGCCUCCCGUUUCUCUAGCACCUUGCUGUCAAAAGAUAUCCACCGAAAACGGUCUGCACCCCGGUGCACUUCGGUUAAAACCCCCUAACCCUAACCCUAACCCUAACAGGCUCAUUACCUAUACGGCCCUGAUCUCCCUCGAGCGAGGUUAUUUUACCUUCUCCCUAAAAUACAUAAACCCCCAGAAACUUGGACCGUUCCCUUCGUGAUUCCUCCAGGACGCCCUAUAGUCAGCGACUGUGGCUCCGAAUCAUAUCACCUGGCGGAGUUCAUAGACUACUAUAUUAACCCCCUAUCCCACACCCACCCGAGCUACCUGAAGGACACCUACACAUUUGUAAACAAAUUAAAGAAUCUUACCGUCCCUGAUAACACGUUUAUCUUUUCCAUCGACGUCGACUCCCUGUAUACGAACAUCGACACUGUUCUGGGCCUCGAGGCUGUUAAGAAAGCAUUGGCUUUAUCACCUGAUCCAUCUCGUCCCGACACAUUUAUUUUAAAGUUUUUAGAAAUUACCCUUACCCGCAAUGACUUUUUGUUUGAUAAAGCCUUCUUCC